rnacentral:rRNA from 1 species
AGGGUUCGAUUCUGGCUCAGGAUGAACGCUAGCUACAGGCUUAACACAUGCAAGUCGAGGGGCAGCGGGAAGAAGCUUGCUUCUUGCCGGCGACCGGCGCACGGGUGAGUAACGCGUAUCCAACCUUCCCUUAGUAGGGCAUAGCCCGGCGAAAGUCGGAUUAAUACCCUAUGUUCUUCGUAGAGGACAUCUGAAAUGAAGCAAAGAUUUAUCGCUAAGGGAUGGGGAUGCGUCUGAUUAGGUAGUCGGCGGGGUAACGGCCCACCGAGCCUACGAUCAGUAGGGGUUCUGAGAGGAAGGUCCCCCACAUUGGAACUGAGACACGGUCCAAACUCCUACGGGAGGCAGCAGUGAGGAAUAUUGGUCAAUGGACGAGAGUCUGAACCAGCCCAAGUAGCGUGCAGGAUGACGGCCCUAUGGGUUGUAAACUGCUUUUAUACGGGGAUAAAGUGAGGGACGUGUCCCUUUUUGUAGGUACCGUAUGAAUAAGGACCGGCUAAUUCCGUGCCAGCCGCCGC